UACAGAGGGUGCGAGCGUUGUCCGGAAUCACUGGGCGUAAAGGGCGCGUAGGUGGCCACCAUAAGGCCGCGGUGAAAGUCUGGGGCUCAACCCCGGAUCGGCCGCGGCGACUGUGGGGCUAGGGUACCGUAGAGGCAGAUGGAAUUCCGGGUGUAGCGGUGGAAUGCGUAGAGAUCCGGAAGAACACCAGUGGCGAAGGCGGGUCUCUGGGCCGAAAUUGACGCUGAGGAGCGAAAGGCGUGGGGAGCGAACAGG
rnacentral:rRNA from 1 species